UGCAAGUCGAGCGGUAGAGAGAAGCUUGCUUCUCUUGAGAGCGGCGGACGGGUGAGUAAUGCCUAGGAAUCUGCCUGGUAGUGGGGGAUAACGUUCGGAAACGGACGCUAAUACCGCAUACGUCCUACGGGAGAAAGCAGGGGACCUUCGGGCCUUGCGCUAUCAGAUGAGCCUAGGUCGGAUUAGCUAGUUGGUGGGGUAAUGGCUCACCAAGGCGACGAUCCGUAACUGGUCUGAGAGGAUGAUCAGUCACACUGGAACUGAGACACGGUCCAGACUCCUACGGGAGGCAGCAGUGGGGAAUAUUGGACAAUGGGCGAAAGCCUGAUCCAGCCAUGCCGCGUGUGUGAAGAAGGUCUUCGGAUUGUAAAGCACUUUAAGUUGGGAGGAAGGGUUGUAGAUUAAUACUCUGCAAUUUUGACGUUACCGACAGAAUAAGCACCGGCUAACUCUGUGCCAGCAGCCGCGGUAAUACAGAGGGUGCAAGCGUUAAUCGGAAAUUACUGGGCGUAAAGCGCGCGUAGGUGGUUUGUUAAGUUGGAUGUGAAAUCCCCCGGGCUCAACCUGGGAAACUGCAUUCAAAAACUGACUGACUAGAGUAUGGUAGAGGGUGGUGGAAUUUCCUGUGUAGCGGUGAAAUGCGUAGAUAUAGGAAGGAACACCAGUGGCGAAGGCGACCACCUGGACUGAUACUGACACUGAGGUGCGAAAGCGUGGGGGAGCAAACAGGAUUAGAUACCCCUGGGUAGUCCACGCCGUAAACGAUGUCAACUAGCCCGUUGGGGAGCCCUUGAGCUCUUAGUGGCGCAGCUAACGCAUUAAGUUGACCGCCCUGGGGGAGUACGGGCCGCAAGGUUAAAACUCAAAUGAAUUUGACGGGGGGGCCCGCACAAGCGGUGGAGCAUGUGGUUUAAUUCGAAAGCAACGCGAAGAACCUUACCAGGCCUUGACAUCCAAUGAACUUUCUAGAGAUAGAUUGGUGCCUUCGGGAACAUUGAGACAGGUGCUGCAUGGCUGUCGUCAGCUCGUGUCGUGAGAUGUUGGGUUAAGUCCCGUAACGAGCGCAACCCUUGUCCUUAGUUACCAGCACGUCAUGGUGGGCACUCUAAGGAGACUGCCGGUGACAAACCGGAGGAAGGUGGGGAUGACGUCAAGUCAUCAUGGCCCUUACGGCCUGGGCUACACACGUGCUACAAUGGUCGGUACAGAGGGUUGCCAAGCCGCGAGGUGGAGCUAAUCCCAGAAAACCGAUCGUAGUCCGGAUCGCAGUCUGCAACUCGACUGCGUGAAGUCGGAAUCGCUAGUAAUCGCGAAUCAGAAUGUCGCGGUGAAUACGUUCCCGGGCCUUGUACACACCGCCCGUCACACCAUGGGAGUGGGUUGCACCAGAAGUAGCUAGUCUAACCUUCGGGAGGACGGUACCAUCGG
rnacentral:rRNA from 1 species